UGCAGUCGAGGGGUAACGUGAGUGCUUGCACUUGACGACGACCGGCGCACGGGUGCGUAACGCGUAUAGAACCUACCUUAUAGUAAGGGAUAGCCCAGAGAAAUUUGGAUUAAUACCUUAUAGUAUGAUAAGAUGGCAUCAUUUAAUCAUUAAAGAUUUAUUGCUAUAAGAUGGCUAUGCGUUCUAUUAGCUAGUUGGUAUGGUAACGGCAUACCAAGGCAACGAUAGAUAGGGGUCCUGAGAGGGAGAUCCCCCACACUGGUACUGAGACACGGACCAGACUCCUACGGGAGGCAGCAGUGAGGAAUAUUGGACAAUGGAGGCAACUCUGAUCCAGCCAUGCCGCGUGUAGGAAGACUGCCCUAUGGGUUGUAAACUACUUUUAUAGAGGAAGAAACAGUUCCACGUGUGGAACUCUGACGGUACUCUACGAAUAAGGAUCGGCUAACUCCGUGCCAGCAGCCGCGGUAAUACGGAGGAUCCAAGCGUUAUCCGGAAUCAUUGGGUUUAAAGGGUCCGUAGGCGGGUCUGUAAGUCAGUGGUGAAAGUUUUCGGCUCAACCGGAAAAUUGCCAUUGAUACUGCAGGUCUUGAAUCAUUAUGAAGUGGUUAGAAUAAGUAGUGUAGCGGUGAAAUGCAUAGAUAUUACUUAGAAUACCGAUUGCGAAGGCAGAUCACUAAUAAUGUAUUGACGCUAAGGGACGAAAGCGUGGGUAGCGAACAGGAUUAGAUACCCUGGUAGUCCACGCCGUAAACGAUGGUUACUAGCUGUUCGGACUUCGGUCUGAGUGGCUAAGCGAAAGUGAUAAGUAACCCACCUGGGGAGUACGUUCGCAAGAAUGAAACUCAAAGGAAUUGACGGGGGCCCGCACAAGCGGUGGAGCAUGUGGUUUAAUUCGAUGAUACGCGAGGAACCCUUACCAGGGCUUUAAUGUAGUAUGACAGGUUUAGAGAUAGACUUUUUCUUCGGACAUAUUACAAGGUGCUGC
rnacentral:rRNA from 1 species